rnacentral:rRNA from 1 species
AGUGAACGCUGGCGGUAGGCCUAACACAUGCAAGUCGAACGGCAGCACAGUAAGAGCUUGCUCUUACGGGUGGCGAGUGGCGGACGGGUGAGGAAUACAUCGGAAUCUACUUUUUCGUGGGGGAUAACGUAGGGAAACUUACGCUAAUACCGCAUACGACCUACGGGUGAAAGCAGGGGAUCUUCUGACCUUGCGCGAUUGAAUGAGCCGAUGUCGGAUUAGCUAGUUGGCGGGGUAAAGGCCCACCAAGGCGACGAUCCGUAGCUGGUCUGAGAGGAUGGUCAGCCACACUGGAAGUGAGACACGGUCCAGACGCCUACGGGAGGCAGCAGUGGGGAAUAUUGGACAGUGGGCGCAAGCCUGGUCCAGCCAUACCGCGUGGGUGAAGAAGGCCUUCGGGUUGUAAAGCCCUUUUGUUGGGAAAGAAAAGCAGCAGGUUAAUACCACGCUGUUCUGACGGUACCCAAAGAAGAAGCACCGGCUAACUUCGUG